rnacentral:rRNA from 1 species
AAUAUUGGACAAUGGGCGCAAGCCUGAUCCAGCCACGCCGCGUGAGUGAUGAGGGCCUUCGGGUCGUAAAGCUCUGUGGGGAGGGACGAACCGCCGGUGGUGCAUAGCCAACGGCAUGACGGUACCUCCUUAGCAAGCACCGGCUAACUUCGUGCUAGCAGCCGCGGUAAGACAGAGGGUGCAAACGUUGUUCGGAAUUACUGGGCGUAAAGCGUGUGUAGGCGGUCCACUAAGUCGGGUGUGAAAGCCCUGGGCUCAACCCAGGAAGUGCACUCGAAACUGGCGGGCUAGAGUAUCGGAGAGGUUGGUGGAAUUCUCGGUGUAGAGGUGAAAUUCGUAGAUAUCGAGAGGAACACCGGUGGCGAAGGCGGCCAACUGGACGAAUACUGACGCUGAGACACGAAAGCGUGGGGAGCAAAC